CAGCAGCCGCGGUAAUACGUAGGGCGCAAGCGUUAUCCGGAAUUAUUGGGCGUAAAGAGCUCGUAGGCGGUUUGUCGCGUCUGCCGUGAAAGUCCGGGGCUCAACCCCGGAUCUGCGGUGGGUACGGGCAGACUAGAGUGAUGUAGGGGAGACUGGAAUUCCUGGUGUAGCGGUGAAAUGCGCGGAUAUCAGGAGGAACACCGAUGGCGAAGGCAGGUCUCUGGGCAUUAACUGACGCUGAGGAGCGAAAGCAUGGGGAGCGAACAGGAUUAGAUACCCCUGUAGUCCCUGUCUCUUAUAC
rnacentral:rRNA from 1 species